rnacentral:rRNA from 1 species
UUAAGCGACUAAGCGUACACGGUGGAUGCCCUGGCAGUCAGAGGCGAUGAAGGACGUGCUAAUCUGCGAAAAGCGUCGGUAAGGUGAUAUGAACCGUUACAGCCGGCGAUGUCCGAAUGGGGAAACCCAGUGCAAUUCGUUGCACUAUCGUUAACUGAAUACAUAGGUUAACGAGGCGAACCGGGGGAACUGAAACAUCUAAGUACCCCGAGGAAAAGAAAUCAACCGAGAUUCCCCCAGUAGCGGCGAGCGAACGGGGAGCAGCCCAGAGUCUGAAUCAGCUUGUGUGUUAGUGGAACGGUCUGGAAAGUCCGACGGUACAGGGUGAUAGUCCCGUACACCAAAAUGCACAGGUUGUGAACUCGAAGAGUAGGGCGGGACACGUGGUAUCCUGUCUGAAUAUGGGGGGACCAUCCUCCAAGGCUAAAUACUCCUGACUGACCGAUAGUGAACCAGUACCGUGAGGGAAAGGCGAAAAGAACCCCGGCGAGGGGAGUGAAAAAGAACCUGAAACCGUGUACGUACAAGCAGUGGGAGCACCUUCGGGUGUGACUGCGUACCUUUUGUAUAAUGGGUCAGCGACUUAUAUUCUGUAGCAAGGUUAACCGUAUAGGGGAGCCGCAGGGAAACCGAGUCUUAACUGGGCGUUAAGUUGCAGGGUAUAGACCCGAAACCCGGUGAUCUAGCCAUGGGCAGGUUGAAGGUUGGGUAACACUAACUGGAGGACCGAACCGACUAAUGUUGAAAAAUUAGCGGAUGACUUGUGGCUGGGGGUGAAAGGCCAAUCAAACCGGGAGAUAGCUGGUUCUCCCCGAAAGCUAUUUAGGUAGCGCCUCGUGAAUUCAUCUUCGGGGGUAGAGCACUGUUUCGGCUAGGGGGUCAUCCCGACUUACCAACCCGAUGCAAACUACGAAUACCGAAGAAUGUUAUCACGGGAGACACACGGCGGGUGCUAACGUCCGUCGUGAAGAGGGAAACAACCCAGACCGCCAGCUAAGGUCCCAAAGUCAUGGUUAAGUGGGAAACGAUGUGGGAAGGCACAGACAGCCAGGAUGUUGGCUUAGAAGCAGCCAUCAUUUAAAGAAAGCGUAAUAGCUCACUGGUCGAGUCGGCCUGCGCGGAAGAUGUAACGGGGCUAAACCAUGCACCGAAGCUGCGGCAGCGACACUAUGUGUUGUUGGGUAGGGGAGCGUUCUGUAAGCCUGCGAAGGUGACCUGUGAGGGUUGCUGGAGGUAUCAGAAGUGCGAAUGCUGACAUAAGUAACGAUAAAGCGGGUGAAAAGCCCGCUCGCCGGAAGACCAAGGGUUCCUGUCCAACGUUAAUCGGGGCAGGGUGAGUCGACCCCUAAGGCGAGGCCGAAAGGCGUAGUCGAUGGGAAACAGGUUAAUAUUCCUGUACUUGGUGUUACUGCGAAGGGGGGACGGAGAAGGCUAUGUUAGCCGGGCGACGGUUGUCCCGGUUUAAGCAUGUAGGCUGGUUGUCCAGGCAAAUCCGGAUAAUCAAGGCUGAGGUGUGAUGACGAGGCACUACGGUGCUGAAGUAACAAAUGCCCUGCUUCCAGGAAAAGCCUCUAAGCAUCAGGUAACAUUAAAUCGUACCCCAAACCGACACAGGUGGUCAGGUAGAGAAUACCAAGGCGCUUGAGAGAACUCGGGUGAAGGAACUAGGCAAAAUGGUGCCGUAACUUCGGGAGAAGGCACGCUGGUGUGUAGGUGAAGUCCCUGCGGAUGGAGCUGAGACCAGUCGAAGAUACCAGCUGGCUGCAACUGUUUAUUAAAAACACAGCACUGUGCAAACACGAAAGUGGACGUAUACGGUGUGACGCCUGCCCGGUGCCGGAAGGUUAAUUGAUGGGGUUAUCCGUAAGGAGAAGCUCUUGAUCGAAGCCCCGGUAAACGGCGGCCGUAACUAUAACGGUCCUAAGGUAGCGAAAUUCCUUGUCGGGUAAGUUCCGACCUGCACGAAUGGCGUAAUGAUGGCCAGGCUGUCUCCACCCGAGACUCAGUGAAAUUGAACUCGCUGUGAAGAUGCAGUGUACCCGCGGCAAGACGGAAAGACCCCGUGAACCUUUACUAUAGCUUGACACUGAACAUUGAGCCUUGAUGUGUAGGAUAGGUGGGAGGCUUUGAAGCGUGGACGCCAGUCUGCGUGGAGCCAACCUUGAAAUACCACCCUUUAAUGUUUGAUGUUCUAACGUUGGCCCCUUACCGGGGUUGCGGACAGUGUCUGGUGGGUAGUUUGACUGGGGCGGUCUCCUCCCAAAGCGUAACGGAGGAGCACGAAGGUUAGCUAAUCCUGGUCGGACAUCAGGAGGUUAGUGCAAUGGCAUAAGCUAGCUUGACUGCGAGCGUGACGGCGCGAGCAGGUGCGAAAGCAGGUCAUAGUGAUCCGGUGGUUCUGAAUGGAAGGGCCAUCGCUCAACGGAUAAAAGGUACUCCGGGGAUAACAGGCUGAUACCGCCCAAGAGUUCAUAUCGACGGCGGUGUUUGGCACCUCGAUGUCGGCUCAUCACAUCCUGGGGCUGAAGUAGGUCCCAAGGGUAUGGCUGUUCGCCAUUUAAAGUGGUACGCGAGCUGGGUUUAGAACGUCGUGAGACAGUUCGGUCCCUAUCUGCCGUGGGCGCUGGAGAAUUGAGGGGGGCUGCUCCUAGUACGAGAGGACCGGAGUGGACGCAUCACUGGUGUUCGGGUUGUCAUGCCAAUGGCACUGCCCGGUAGCUAAAUGCGGAAGAGAUAAGUGCUGAAAGCAUCUAAGCACGAAACUUGCCCCGAGAUGAGUUCUCCCUGAGACUUUAAGUCUCCUGAAGGAACGUUGAAGACGACGACGUUGAUAGGCCGGGUGUGUAAGCGCAGCGAUGCGUUGAGCUAACCGGUACUAAUGAACCGUGAGGCUUAACCUU